rnacentral:rRNA from 1 species
GUCCACGCCGUAAACGAUGGACACUUGGUGUUGGAGGUAUUGACCCCUUCAGUGCCGGAGCUAACGCGUUAAGUGUCCCGCCUGGGGAGUACGGUCGCAAGAUUAAAACUCAAAGAAAUUGACGGGGGCCCGCACAAGCGGUGGAGCAUGUGGUUUAAUUCGAUGCAACGCGAAAUACCUUACCUGGUCUUGACAUCUAGGGGAAGUACUCAGAAAUGAGUGCGCCUUCGGGCUCCUAGACAG